rnacentral:rRNA from 1 species
UACGUAGGUGGCAAGCGUUGUCCGGAUUUACUGGGCGUAAAGAGCGCGCAGGCGGUCGUAUAAGUCGAAUGUGAAAGCCCCGGCUCAACUGGGGAGGUCAUUCGAUACUGUUCGACUCGAAGGCAGGAGAGGGAAGUGGGAAUUCCGGGUGUAGUGGUGAAAUGCGUAGAUAUCAGGAGGAACACCGGUGGCGAAGGCGGGUCUCUGGGCCUUACCUGGACGCUCAGGUGCGAAAGCUAGGGGAGCGAACAGG